AGCGGCGGACGGGUGAGUAAUGCUUAGGAAUCUGCCAUUUAGUGGGGGACAACAUUCCGAAAGGGAUGCUAAUACCGCAUACGUCCUACGGGAGAAAGCAGGGGAUCUUCGGACCUUGCGCUAAAUGAUGAGCCUAAGUCGGAUUAGCUAGUUGGUGGGGUAAAGGCCUACCAAGGCGACGAUCUGUAGCGGGUCUGAGAGGAUGAUCCGCCACACUGGGACUGAGACACGGCCCAGACUCCUACGGGAGGCAGCAGUGGGGAAUAUUGGACAAUGGGCGGAAGCCUGAUCCAGCCAUGCCGCGUGUGUGAAGAAGGCCUUUUGGUUGUAAAGCACUUUAAGCGAGGAGGAGGCUACCUGGAUUAAUACUCUGGGAUAGUGGACGUUACUCGCAGAAUAAGCACCGGCUAACUCUGUGCCAGCAGCCGCGGUAAUACAGAGGGUGCGAGCGUUAAUCGGAUUUACUGGGCGUAAAGCGUGCGUAGGCGGCUUUUUAAGUCGGAUGUGAAAUCCCCGAGCUUAACUUGGGAAUUGCAUUCGAUACUGGGAAGCUAGAGUAUGGGAGAGGAUGGUAGAAUUCCAGGUGUAGCGGUGAAAUGCGUAGAGAUCUGGAGGAAUACCGAUGGCGAAGGCAGCUAUCUGGCCUAAUACUGACGCUGAGGUACGAAAGCAUGGGGAGCAAACAGGAUUAGAUACCCUGGUAGUCUAUGCCGUAAACGAUGUCUACUAGC
rnacentral:rRNA from 1 species